CGCCAGACUCCUACGGGAGGCAGCAGUGGGGGAUAUUGCACAAUGGGGGGAACCCUGAUGCAGCGACGCCGCGUGGGUGAAGAAGCGCCUCGGCGCGUAAAGCUCUGUCAGCGGGGAAGAAAGAAGACGGUACCCGACCAAGAAGCCCCGGCUAACUACGUGCCAGCAGCCGCGGUAAUACGUAGGGGGCGAGCGUUAUCCGGAAUUACUGGGUGUAAAGGGAGCGUAGACGGCGAAGUAAGCCUGAAGUGGAAGCCCGCGGCCCAACCGCGGAACUGCUUUGGGAACUGUUUUGCUGGAGUAUGGGAGGGGUAAGCGGAAUUCCUGGUGUAGCGGUGAAAUGCGUAGAUAUCAGGAGGAACACCGGUGGCGAAGGCGGCUUACUGGACCAUGACUGACGUUGAGGCUCGAAAGCGUGGGGAGCGAACAGGAUUAGAUCCCCGAGUA
rnacentral:rRNA from 1 species